rnacentral:rRNA from 1 species
UACGAAGGGGGCUAGCGUUGCUCGGAAUCACUGGGCGUAAAGGGUGCGUAGGCGGGUCUUUAAGUCAGGGGUGAAAUCCUGGAGCUCAACUCCAGAACUGCCUUUGAUACUGGAAAUCUUGAGUCCGGGAGAGGUGAGUGGAACUGCGAGUGUAGAGGUGAAAUUCGUAGAUAUUCGCAAGAACACCAGUGGCGAAGGCGGCUCACUGGCCCGGUACUGACGCUGAGGUGCGAAAGCGUGGGGAGCAAACAGG